rfam:Triticum aestivum genome assembly, contig: Triticum_aestivum_CS42_TGACv1_scaffold_513280_6BS
AAAGUACUCCCUCCGUCUCAAAAUCUUGUCUUAGAUUUGUCUAAAUACGGAUGUAUCAAGUCAUGUUUUAGUAUUAGAUACAUCCGUAUCUAGGCAAAUCUAAGACAAGAAUUUUGGGACGGAGGGAGUAGUAA